rnacentral:rRNA from 1 species
UACGAGGGGGCAAGCGUUGUCCGGAAUCACUGGGCGUAAAGGGCGCGUAGGCGGCUCAUGAAGGCUGUGGUGAAAGUCCGGGCUCAACCUCGGAUCGGCCGUGGCGACUCGUGGGCUGGAGCACUGUAGAGGCGGGUGGAAUUCCGGGUGUAGCGGUGGAAUGCGUAGAGAUCCGGAAGAACACCAGUGGCGAAGGCGGCCCGCUGGGCAGUGGCUGACGCUGAGGCGCGACAGCGUGG